CCGCGCGGGCUGAAACAGGCAUGAGGGCGAGAAGCGAAAUCAGAAGCAGGCGCAGGACAGGCAUCGGGGUACCGCAUUGAUGACAACGACCCGACAUUAUCCAUGCGCGCGCUCUGCUACGCUUCACACAGAUUUGCUGCGCCGAUAUGCGGCGCGCGACACAAUCGCGCUCACAAACGAAUCUAAAUUAAAGGCCGCGCUGUUUCAUCGCGCCCGUG
rnacentral:misc_RNA from 1 species